AUUGAACGCUGGCGGCAUGCCUUACACAUGCAAGUCGAACGGCAGCACGGGUGCUUGCACCUGGUGGCGAGUGGCGAACGGGUGAGUAAUACAUCGGAACAUGUCCUGUAGUGGGGGAUAGCCCGGCGAAAGCCGGAUUAAUACCGCAUACGAUCUACGGAUGAAAGCGGGGGACCUUCGGGCCUCGCGCUAUCGGGUUGGCCGAUGGCUGAUUAGCUAGUUGGUGGGGUAAAGGCCUACCAAGGCGACGAUCAGUAGCUGGUCUGAGAGGACGACCAGCCACACUGGGACUGAGACACGGCCCAGACUCCUACGGGAGGCAGCAGUGGGGAAUUUUGGACAAUGGGCGAAAGCCUGAUCCAGCAAUGCCGCGUGUGUGAAGAAGGACUUCGGGUUGUAAAGCACUUUUGUCCGGAAAGAAAUCCUUGGCUCUAAUACAGUCGGGGGAUGACGGUACCGGAAGAAUAAGCACCGGCUAACUACGUG
rnacentral:rRNA from 1 species